rnacentral:rRNA from 1 species
GACGAACGCUGGCGGCGUGCUUAACACAUGCAAGUCGAACGGAAAGGCCCUGCUUUUGUGGGGUUCUCGAGUGGCGAACGGGUGAGUAACACGUGAGUAACCUGCCCUUGACUUUGGGAUAACUUCAGGAAACUGGUGCUAAUACCGGAUAGGAGCUCCUGCUGCAUGGUGGGGGUUGGAAAGUUUCGGCGGUUGGGGAUGGACUCGCGGCUUAUCAGCUUGUUGGUGGGGUAGUGGCUUACCAAGGCUUUGACGGGUAGCCGGCCUGAGAGGGUGACCGGCCACAUUGGGACUGAGAUACGGCCCAGACUCCUACGGGAGGCAGCAGUGGGGAAUAUUGCACAAUGGGCGGAAGCCUGAUGCAGCAACGCCGCGUGCGGGAUGACGGCCUUCGGGUUGUAAACCGCUUUCGCCUGUGACGAAGCGUGAGUGACGGUAAUGGGUAAAGAAGCACCGGCUAACUACGUG